GCUCACUCAUGUCUAUAUCCAGUGACAUUGUGACGGCUGUUCCAUUGACUCUAAUAAUUACUCCCGUCAAUUUCACAUAAAUACUCACAAACUAAUAGAAUAAUAAUAGGUCAUCAUUUCAUAAAACAUCUAUUUAAGUACCUAUAUAUAUAUAUAUAUAUUUGCGAUAUUCUAUUUACUACCACUGUGGAAGAUUUGACGCCCAUAUUUUAAGCUACAGUAACGUACGAUGUGAUCAUAUCAUAUAGCAACGUAAUCAAGACAUAUCGUGGCAUGUGAUCAGGUGGAGUGCAGUCGCGUAGUGAUUCGAAGAUUGACGGGGAAGUACGUAAUGUCAUUUACGGGAAGACAACUUGAUGUUUGUAUCAUUCAGCUGUAAUGUGAAAUAGGAGAGUUGAAAUGAAAAUGAUUUUUAGGGUAAGAUUGUUACAUAAUAUUUCCUCAUUUAUUCUGCGACUUUGGAUUUGUGUUGGUGGAAGAACUGAUGAUGAAUUGACCGAUUGGUUUAAUGGUAAGAAUUUAGUGAAUUACUCUGCAAAAUCUUUCGCCGGGGUUUUGAAACCCUAGUCGGAACAGCCUCGCCGGCCGCCGCGGUCAAAAUGCCAGUCCCCUCGGAGAAUGGCGACACCACCACCGUCGCCCGCUUCCGUUGCCCCCACCACCAUCCCAACUUCGUCUAACCAAGCCUCGUCAGAUUUAUCGAUUAGGAACUUGUGUGUCUGUUAUUUAGGGGAUUGGAAUAGUGGGGAGAUGACGGGGAAGAAGCUGAGGCUGUGGACAGCUUUGACUAUCCCGGAGGUUGACGAAGGCCGCGCCGCAAGAUGGACUCCCUCCGCCGAGAUUGUCAUUCGUCACGGAUAAGGCUCUAAUGCUGCAUACUGAGUCAGGAGCCGCAAACCAAGAGGGAAGCUACAGGAUCAUCAAACCUCACAAAAGUCCUAGGAGUGGUGUAACAUCUUGCCAGUCUGGGAUUUUGGCAGCUACAGUGGCACCGGCUAGCACUGGAAUUAUGUGAUCUGCUACCCCGUUCAUGGCCCAGCUUGGUGACAUGUCUUCUCUGCUUGUCAACCCUUCUCCACAUCGAAUUCUUCAUGUUGGGUGAGUGGCUUACAUGUCUACUGCAAGGAUAUAAAGCCAAGCGUCAUUUCCUUGUCUGUAACACCUAACUAGGAUGAAGAUGCCAUGGCGACCACAGAACAGAGAAAGCACAAACUGCUGAAAGAUCAAUGUCUCAGUCCUUUCCUGGUGUCUCUCUUCUCUGGCUUGGUUGUCCACUGGCGCCAACUUUGUUGUGUGGGAAAUCAUUCACGGGACUGCGUGCUGUUGCUGUCAUGGUUGUUGUUCCUUCUUCCUCUUGGUACUGAUGGCCGUAGAUGACUCUCGAGGUCACUCUGCCCAUGACCAUUUAGCUUUUCUGGAAAAAAAAAGGGGCAGAGUUCUAUUGUUUCUGUGCUGUCCUCAAUGCAGCAAAAACUCAUCAUGUAUUAUUGAUCCUGAUCAUGAACAUAUC